rnacentral:rRNA from 1 species
GUGAGGAAUAUUGCGCAGUGGAGGCAACUCUGACGCAGCCAUGCCGCGUGCAGGAAGAAGGCGCUACGCGUUGUAAACUGCUUUUAACCGGGAAGAAACCCCAGGACGUGUCCUGGGUUGACGGUACCGGAGGAAUAAGCACCGGCUAACUUCGUGCCAGCAGCCGCGGUAAUACGAAGGGUGCAAGCGUUAUCCGGAUUCAUUGGGUUUAAAGGGUGCGUAGGCGGAGCGUUAAGUCAGUGGUGAAAUCCUGCAGCUUAACUGUAGACUUGCCAUUGAUACUGGCGCUCUUGAGUGCGCUUGAAGUGGGCGGAAUGUGCCGUGUAGCGGUGAAAUGCUUAGAUAUGGCACAGAACACCAAUUGCGAAGGCAGCUCACUAAGGCGAUACUGACGCUGAGGCACGAAAGCGUGGGGAUCGAACAGGAUUAGAUACCCUGGUAGUCC